UAAUUCCACAACAUAAACCUGACAGCAAAUAACUAUCUUAUCUUCAGCAAGAAGUAUUGCAAACUAUAGUAUAACGCAUCCAAAUAUAGAAACUAACCAUAAAACCAGGGGCGGAUCUAGAAUUUGUUGAUAGGGGGGGCUGAACUUCUUGAAGGUGUACAGGGGUUCGGGGGCGGUAGCCCCCGAGCUAAAAUUUUUUGGACAGUCUGUACAAUUUUUUUUGUGUCUAAAUAGAAUUUUAAUGGUCUUAGAAUUAAAAGUCAAUCACUUAAUAUAAUAUAUAGUUGUACUCUUUUUAUUGAUUCAAUAAUAGGUUUGAAGCACAUAAAGAGCUACAUCUAUACAUUUUUUAAAAAUUAUUCUAGUUUUAAUAAAAUAAAUUAAUCUUUAUUAUUAUGUUAAAAAAAAUUAUCUUUUUUUUAGACUAGACUGGGCUAUGAAUUAAACUAUGUACAUAUUAAACUAAAUAUAUUACAUAUAUAUAGAAAGAAAGAUUGGGGUUGCACUGGGCUGGAGCCCACUGCAACCCCCAAGUAAAUCCGCCCAUGCAUAAAACUAUAUAAAUUAAGCUUUAUGAUACAGUUCGCUUACCUGUUUCUAUUACCUGAUUCAGUACCUUCUUUAGGUAUUAGUCAAGUAUUGUAAUAGUUACAUCAUUAUGUAGUGAGACAAAACAAUCUUAUAUGAAGCGAAAUUUAUGGCUGCCAACCCUCACUAGCAAAAGUUAUGGUUGUACAACCCUCAUUUCCAAUCCCAAACACAAGAUUCUCUAAUUCACAACAUAUUAAUCAACUAUAUAAGAGCUAAAACAACCUAUUAACAAAAGAAAAGCACAAUAACCAUAUGUAAUAGCUAGUGUUUAUCACUACGGAUAGAUAUAAACUUACAAGCAGGCUUUGGCUUUUGAAUACGGUAAACCAAAUAUGCACUAUUAAUUGAAAAUUAUAAUGAAUUUGAUUAUAUUGUUAGAAUUUAAAAACUAGUUUCAAGAGAAAAGAUAGUCUAACUCUUACCUCUUUUGCGCCUUUAGAUUGACGACGAAGUUGAUAGCUGCAAUAAAUAAUAAAAUUGACAGAUUUGAAUUGAAAAUAUCAUAUUUUCAAUCAAAAUGGUAGGACUAAGAAGGGUAAAAGUUUGUCAAAGCCUUACCUCACCAGAGACUACGAAUUUACGCUGAAAUUAAUCACUGAAAGGAAGAAGAUGAACAAUUAAAAAAAUCUAACAAAUUGAAUUGAGAAUAUAAGAUUUUCUAUCAAAAUCGUGGGAAUAGAGAAGAGUAAAAUCCUGUCAAAGUCUUACCUCACCAAUACUAAAUAGUUUUAAUAAGUAAACAAGUGGCAUCUAAAAACUAAAUAGCAUUAUGUGAGAAAGUGAAUAUCCAAUCGAACCAAUCCCCUGCAUAUGUAAGAAGAAAACAGGACAUGUCGGUUUCCUCACCGGAAAGCAAAGAAAACAAACCUGUAAAUUACAUAAGCUAGCAUCUGAAAUGCAGUAGGUGCCUUCUCAUAACUCCUUGCUUUCACCAAAAAAUAAGAGCUAAAUCACACUCUACACCUCUUGCUAUAACCUGAAAUUAGUACCGAGGAUAGCGUAAUUGAUGUAGUCAAUGAUUCAACAUGAAUUUCUCUAUUCCCUCACCGAGAGCCAAAAGGCAAAAUAAAUUAUACAAGAGACACAUAAAAUGGCAUCAAUAUAUAGAAAAUCAAGGACUUUAAACAACUCUUGCAACACAUUGGCAAUUAUUAGUAAAUUAAAAUGUUGUUGGGAAGAGAUCAUGCUACCCCAACAAAGGCAUCUGAAUACCAAAUUACAUGUUUAGAAAUCCGUAAAAACCAGCAUUAUCACAUGAGAAAUUCAAUAUGCAAAAGUUGGAAGAGAAAAAAGAAUUUGAAUAGUUACAGUUGCAGGUAUAAAAUCUCCAAGACAUAGAAAAUAUCAUUAUUCUAUUGCUCAAAUAACAAAAACCAUCUGCAAUAAAGUCCUUUAUCUGCAUCCUCCAUUUAACAGUUCAGGCUGAAAUAAAAUAAAAAUAGUGACAGGAGAAAAAACUUCAUAAAUUCAGUAAAUAUAAUAUAUCAUUCCACAGCGUCUAUAACUCACCUCAUGAAUCAAGACAUGCUUUACUACAACGCAAGAUCAAUAUAGCACGAAUUGUAAACCUACUAGAUGACAAACCAAAUAAAUAAACAGAUAGUUCCAAAGCAAUAAUACUAAGUAUAUAUUCAUCAUUACGUUGAAAACUCAAUUUGCAUAAGCAUAACCAUCAAACUAGCUUUGAAGUAUACAAAAUUGCUAAGGGCUGCAAAGUAUUACGACAGUGGAAUUUGCAUAGAAGCAUACCUUAUAAGAGUUAAAUAAUUGCCCACAAACGACAUCAACUUUCUAAACAAAACAAACUUCAUGAGGACUCCAAUACCAUACUUCAACUUUCUAAAUAAUAUCAACAUCAAAUUUCUCAAUAGUAAAAAUGACUAUACUAGAGCACACAUAAAACAUUAACGGUUCAAUUAUGCCAAAAUCUUAGUCCUCUUAUAAUAAAAAAAGUUAUCACUAGAGACCAACACAACAAAUUUUCUUAGAGACUAGGUAGUUAAAGGGAGAAUAAUUCACCAAAAACCAAUUAGAAUUCAAUAUAUAUGGCGAACCAAAAAUCACAAAAAAUUCUACCUACUGAAGGUGUCGACCAACUGUAGUUGCUGCUCCCUUUCGCUGCCAAAACUGGUAACGCUAAUACCUCCAUUGGUUGUCACCUACGUCCUCCGCUCGUCGUUUUGUCAGACCAGCACCGUGCCCACCUGAAGUGCCGACCGCUAAACCAUAUGACGCUUGAACUAUAUAUAUAUAUAUAUCCACUCCGCAAUCUGCCAUCUUGCCUUCCUCAAAGGGCAAACCCUUCCCCCUUUCACCAAUUCCUUAAUUGAAUUAUGUAAUGGAAUGAAACUAAAGAUUUUAAUUGUGAUGUAAAUAGCAAUUUCAAUCCACCAAAGGAGACCUAUUUCCCCUACUUAGGGGAGACGCACGAGCAGGAGACGAAGGUUUGGUGCUGAAGGAAUUCGAAUUGAUAAAUUUGGGAAUGUUUAAUUUUCGUUGUUGGGUUGGUGAAAAAAAA
rnacentral:lncRNA from 1 species